UAGAGUUUGAUCCUGGCUCAGGAUGAACGCUGGCGGCGUGCCUAAUACAUGCAAGUCGAGCGAACAGACGAGGAGCUUGCUCCUCUGACGUUAGCGGCGGACGGGUGAGUAACACGUGGAUAACCUACCUAUAAGACUGGGAUAACUUCGGGAAACCGGAGCUAAUACCGGAUAAUAUAUUGAACCGCAUGGUUCAAUAGUGAAAGACGGUUUUGCUGUCACUUAUAGAUGGAUCCGCGCCGCAUUAGCUAGUUGGUAAGGUAACGGCUUACCAAGGCAACGAUGCGUAGCCGACCUGAGAGGGUGAUCGGCCACACUGGAACUGAGACACGGUCCAGACUCCUACGGGAGGCAGCAGUAGGGAAUCUUCCGCAAUGGGCGAAAGCCUGACGGAGCAACGCCGCGUGAGUGAUGAAGGUCUUCGGAUCGUAAAACUCUGUUAUUAGGGAAGAACAAAUGUGUAAGUAACUAUGCACGUCUUGACGGUACCUAAUCAGAAAGCCACGGCUAACUACGUGCCAGCAGCCGCGGUGAUACGUAGGGUGCGAGCGUUGUCCGGAUUUAUUGGGCGUAAAGGGCUCGUAGGUGGUUGAUCGCGUCGGAAGUGUAAUCUUGGGGCUUAACCCUGAGCGUGCUUUCGAUACGGGUUGACUUGAGGANGGUAGGGGAGAAUGGAUUUCCUGGUGAGCGGUGGAAUGCGCAGAUAUCAGGAGGAACACCAGUGGCGAAGGCGGUUCUCUGGGCCUUUCCUGACGCUGAGGAGCGAAAGCGUGGGGAGCGAACAGGCUUAGAUACCCUGGUAGUCCACGCUGUAAACGGUGGGUACUAGGUGUGGGGUCCAUUCCACGGGUUCCGCGCCGUAGCUAACGCUUUAAGUACCCCGCCUGGGGAGUACGGCCGCAAGGCUAAAACUCAAAGGAAUUGACGGGGCCCCGCACAAGCGGCGGAGCAUGCGGAUUAAUUCGAUGCAACGCGUAGAACCUUACCUGGGUUUGACAUGGAUCGGGAGUGCUCAGAGAUGGGUGUGCCUCUUUUGGGGUCGGUUCACAGGUGGUGCAUGGCUGUCGUCAGCUCGUGUCGUGAGAUGUUGGGUUAAGUCCCGCAACGAGCGCAACCCUUGUUCACUGUUGCCAGCACGUUAUGGUGGGGACUCAGUGGAGACCGCCGGGGUCAACUCGGAGGAAGGUGGGGAUGACGUCAAGUCAUCAUGCCCCUUAUGUCCAGGGCUUCACGCAUGCUACAAUGGCUGGUACAGAGAGUGGCGAGCCUGUGAGGGUGAGCGAAUCUCGGAAAGCCGGUCUCAGUUCGGAUUGGGGUCUGCAACUCGACCUCAUGAAGUCGGAGUCGCUAGUAAUCGCAGAUCAGCAACGCUGCGGUGAAUACGUUCCCGGGGCUUGUACACACCGCCCGUCAAGUCAUGAAAGUUGGUAACACCCGAAGCCGGUGGCCUAACCGUUGUGGGGGAGCCGUCGAAGGUGGGACUGGUGAUUAGGACUAAGUCGUAACAAGGUAACCAA
rnacentral:rRNA from 1 species